UUUAGGCAUGCUCUGCAAAUAUAUUCAUCUUCCAACACAAAUUUGGAACCAAGGGAACCUAUCUGCUUUAUAGACGACAAGCAUGGGAGGAGAUUAAAAUAAGGUCAACCCUAAAUAUUUCACAUAGAAAUAGAUAUUGAAACAAAUUAACCAUGUUGCAAACCAAAGACAGAGGUGUAAGUUAUACAACUCGGAGAAUGUCUAUAGCAUGCUUCAGCUGAUAUAGUCAUCUUCCGACACAAUUUUGGAACUAAGUAAACCUAUUUGCUUUAUAGAUGACAAGCAUAGGAGGAGACUAAAAACCUUAGAAUUGUAGAGUAGACAACUAACACACACCUCAUUAUUCUUUACCAGUUUAAUGACUCUGAAAGAAAUUCUACAAAUGUAUCCUCUCCAAGUUACUGCAUGAAGACUAAAUUACAUCAUGAAGAUGUGAUGGCAUGGAGGACAAUUUCUCUAGUCAACAUCCGACACAAGAUUGGUACUAGAAUACCAAUUUGCUUUGUUGAUGACAUACAUGAUAGAGAACUUUUGACAAAAUCAAAAACUGCUCAUUGUGUGCAAAGAUUAUAAGCUUAUCUAAAGAGAACUAUAAGCUAAAGAAAGAAAGGAAAAGCACUACUGGGAUAAAAGGCACAAACAGGUCAUUGUUCUGAACAUGUUACAAGAACCAAGUGAGAAAAGCACAAUUAGGGAGCAGUAUAUGAAGUAGAUGAUUGAAACACACCACAUUACAAGUAUAACAACUCUGAAAGAAAAUCGACAAGUGUAUCAUCUCUCCGAGUUACAACAUCAUGAAGAUGCGAUGGCAUGGAGGACAAUUUCUCUAGUCAACAUCCGACACAAGAAUGGUACUAGCACACCAAUUUGCUUUGUUGAUGACAUACAUGAUAGAGAACUUCUAACAAAAUCAAAAACUGCUCAUUGUGUGCAAAGGUUAUACACUCAACUAAAGAGAACUAUAAGCUAAAGAAAGAAAGGAAAAGCACUACUGGGAUAAAAGGCACAAGCAGGUCAUUGUUCUGAACAUGUUAGAAGAACCAAGUGAGAAAGGCACAAUUAGGGAGCAUUAUAUUAAGUAGAUGAUUGAAACACACCUCAUUACAAGUAUAACAACUCUGAAAGAAAAUCUACAAAUGUAUCAUCUCUCCAAACUACUGUAUGAAGACUAAAUUACAUCAUGAAGAUGGGAUGGCAUGGAGGACAAUUUCUCUAGUCAACAUCCGACACAAGAUUGGUACUAGCACACCAAUUUGCUUUGUUGAUGACAUAUAUGAUAGAGAACUUACUAAAAAAAUACAAAAACUGCUCAUUGUGUGCAAAGGUUAUACACCUAACGAAAGAGAACUAUAAGCUAAAGAAAGAAAGGAAAAGCACUACUGGAUAAAAGGCACAAGCAUGACAUUGUUCCUAACAGGUUAGAAGAACCAAGUGAGAAAGGCACAAUAAGGGAGCAUUAUAUGAAGUAGAUGAUUGAAACACACCUCAUUACAAGUAUAACAACUCUGAAAGAAAAUCUACAAAUGUAUCAUCUCUCCAAACUACUGCAUGAAGACUAAAUUACAUCAUGAAGAUGUGAUGGCAUGGAGGCAAUUUCUCUAGUCAACAUCCGAC
rnacentral:lncRNA from 1 species